GCCGGAAGAACUUGUUCUGGAGGGAUGAUCCCGAUGGCUCCCAGCGAAGAAGGCCAGGAAGAGCAGAGGAUGGUGCCAGGACGAUGAUGUCGGGGGACACAGGCAGCUCAGGCCUGGAUCAGGCAGUGACUGUGUGUGUGUGUGUGUUAUGAAGAAAGAGGGAUGGAAAUCGUGACCAGAGAGUUGGAGUUGGGACCCCUGUCUUGAUCACUUGAGCAUCAGCAGCUCCAGGGAAGAACACACUCUGAAGGAGGAACUCUCCAGCUAGGAUUUCAUCCUGUCCUAGAGGACACCAAGACAAAUAUCCUCAAAAUUGAAAACUGCAACGUCAAUGAAAUCAGUGAGCACACUACCAUCCUUCUAAUGGGAGGUCCAAUUUA
rnacentral:lncRNA from 1 species